rnacentral:rRNA from 1 species
AUUGAACGCUGGCGGCAGGCCUAACACAUGCAAGUCGAGCGGAUGAAGGGAGCUUGCUCCUGGAUUCAGCGGCGGACGGGUGAGUAAUGCCUAGGAAUCUGCCUGGUAGUGUGGUAUAACGUCCGUAAACGGGCGCUAAUACCGCAUACGUCCUGAGUGAUAAAGUUUGGGAUCUUCGGUCCUCACGCUAUCAGAUGAGCCUAGGUCGGAUUAGCUAGUUGGUGGGGUAAAGGCCUACCAAGGCGACGAUCCGUAACUGGUCUGAGAGGAUGAUCAGUCACACUGGAACUGAGACACGGUCCAGAGUCCUACGGGAGGCAGCAGUGGGGAAUAUUGGACAAUGGGCGAAAGCCUGAUACAGCAAUGCCGCGUGUGUGAAGAAGGUCUUCGGAUUGUAAAGCACUUUAAGUUGGGAGGAAGGGCAGUAAGUUAAUACCUUGCUGUUUUGACGUUACCAACAGAAUAAGCACCGGCUAACUUCGUG